GACGAACGCUGGCGGUGUGCUUAACACAUGCAAGUCGAACGGAAAGGCCCUGCUUUUGUGGGGUGCUCGAGUGGCGAACGGGUGAGUAACACGUGAGUAACCUGCCCUUGACUUUGGGAUAACUUCAGGAAACUGGGGCUAAUACCGGAUAGGAGCUCCUGCUGCAUGGUGGGGGUUGGAAAGUUUCGGCGGUUGGGGAUGGACUCGCGGCUUAUCAGCUUGUUGGUGGGGUAGUGGCUUACCAAGGCUUUGACGGGUAGCCGGCCUGAGAGGGUGACCGGCCACAUUGGGACUGAGAUACGGCCCAGACUCCUACGGGAGGCAGCAGUGGGGAAUAUUGCACAAUGGGCGGAAGCCUGAUGCAGCAACGCCGCGUGCGGGAUGACGGCCUUCGGGUUGUAAACCGCUUUCGCCUGUGACGAAGCGUGAGUGACGGUAAUGGGUAAAGAAGCACCGGCUAACUACGUGCCAGCAGCCGCGGUGAUACGUAGGGUGCGAGCGUUGUCCGGAUUUAUUGGGCGUAAAGGGCUCGUAGGUGGUUGAUCGCGUCGGAAGUGUAAUCUUGGGGCUUAACCCUGAGCGUGCUUUCGAUACGGGUUGACUUGAGGAAGGUAGGGGAGAAUGGAAUUCCUGGUGGAGCGGUGGAAUGCGCAGAUAUCAGGAGGAACACCAGUGGCGAAGGCGGUUCUCUGGGCCUUUCCUGACGCUGAGGAGCGAAAGCGUGGGGAGCGAACAGGCUUAGAUACCCUGGUAGUCCACGCUGUAAACGGUGGGUACUAGGUGUGGGGUCCAUUCCACGGGUUCCGUGCCGUAGCUAACGCUUUAAGUACCCCGCCUGGGGAGUACGGCCGCAAGGCUAAAACUCAAAGGAAUCGACGGGGCCCCGCACAAGCGGCGGAGCAUGCGGAUUAAUUCGAUGCAACGCGUAGAACCUUACCUGGGUUUGACAUGGAUCGGGAGUGCUCAGAGAUGGGUGUGCCUCUUUUGGGGUCGGUUCACAGGUGGUGCAUGGCUGUCGUCAGCUCGUGUCGUGAGAUGUUGGGUUAAGUCCCGCAACGAGCGCAACCCUUGUUCACUGUUGCCAGCACGUUAUGGUGGGGACUCAGUGGAGACCGCCGGGGUCAACUCGGAGGAAGGUGGGGAUGACGUCAAGUCAUCAUGCCCCUUAUGUCCAGGGCUUCACGCAUGCUACAAUGGCUGGUACAGAGAGUGGCGAGCCUGUGAGGGUGAGCGAAUCUCGGAAAGCCGGUCUCAGUUCGGAUUGGGGUCUGCAACUCGACCUCAUGAAGUCGGAGUCGCUAGUAAUCGCAGAUCAGCAACGCUGCGGUGAAUACGUUCCCGGG
rnacentral:rRNA from 1 species